UACGGGAGGCAGCAGUGGGGGAAUAUUGCACAAUGGGCGCAAGCCUGAUGCAGCCAUGCCGCGUGUAUGAAGAAGGCCUUCGGGUUGUAAAGUACUUUCAGUCGUGAGGAAGGUGUUAAGGUUAAUAACCUUAGCAAUUGACGUUAGCGACAGAAGAAGCACCGGCUAACUCCGUGCCAGCAGCCGCGGUAAUACGGAGGGUGCGAGCGUUAAUCGGAAUUACUGGGCGUAAAGGGCACGCAGGCGGUUAAUUAAGUUGGAUGUGAAAUCCCCGGGCUUAACCUGGGAAUGGCAUUCAAGACUGGUUAGCUAGAGUCUUGUAGAGGGGGUAGAAUUCCAUGUGUAGCGGUGAAAUGCGUAGAGAUGUGGAGGAAUACCGGUGGCGAAGGCGGCCCCUGGACAAAGACUGACGCUCAUGUGCGAAAGCGUGGGGAGCAAAC
rnacentral:rRNA from 1 species